UACGGAGGAUGCGAGCGUUAUCCGGAUUUAUUGGGUUUAAAGGGUGCGUAAGCGGCUUAGUAAGUCAGCGGUGAAAUUUUGCAGCUUAACUGUAACAGUGCCGUUGAUACUGCCAGGCUAGGAUUUGGUUGCUGUGGGUGGAAUGUGUGGUGUAGCGGUGAAAUGCUUAGAUAUCACACAGAAUAUCGAUUGCGAAGGCAGCUCACAAAGCCAAGAUUGACGCUGAGGCACGAAAGUGUGGGGAUCAAACAGGA
rnacentral:rRNA from 1 species